rnacentral:rRNA from 1 species
UACAGAGGGUGCAAGCGUUAAUCGGAAUUACUGGGCGUAAAGCGCAUGUAGGCGGGCGACUAAGUCAGGGGUGAAAACCGUGGGCUCAACCUACGGCUUGCCCUUGAUACUGGUCGUCUUGAGUACAGGAGAGGGAAGCGGAAUUCCCGGUGUAGCAGUGAAAUGCGUAGAGAUCAGGAGGAACACCGAUGGCGAAGGCAGCCCCCUGGGCCUGUACUGACGCUCAUGCACGAAAGCGUGGGGAGCAAACAGG